rnacentral:lncRNA from 1 species
GAAAAGACAAGGAAAAAGAUAAAAAGAAUGGAUACUCAAAAAAUCAAUUAGAGUACAUUUUUGCCAUCAUUCAACCUUAUUAAUUUUAUUUUUAGAUUUUCCCUUCUCUGUUAUGAAGGGCUUAAAAAGAAAUAACAAUAAAUAACAAAAGAUCAAAGUGAUUAAAUGAGCUAAAGAGACAAACAUAUUUUACAUAUUGAUGUAAGAAACAUUAAUUAUAAUUAUGAUUUUUUUAAAUAAAAAAAAACAUGGAAUUUUUUCCACACUAUAAAAUCAUGAAACAAUUCCUUCUACUAGAUUCAUAAAAGAAAAAAUAUGGCUAAAGUGUAUAUGUUUAUUUAUGCUAUGAUUAUGUUUUAUUUCAUGUUUAUUUCUUCAACAAUAUGUAAGUAAUUUUUAUAAAAGCUUUAAAUUUUAGUACAUACACCGGUAUCUCCAAGUUUAGAUUGAUUGGUACCGGUAUCUUUAUAUGAGAUUCAAUAUUAUGUCAGAUUUUUAUAUUAUUUGAAAUGUCUAAAUAAGUUUAUAGUCCAUAUAAAUUUUUUUAACAAGUUUUGUUUCUCAAAUAUUUUUCAUAUGGUUUUUAUUGUCUGGUUUUAAGUUAACUCAUGUAUAUAAUUUGAACUUUUGAAUUUUUAUAUGGUAAUGUUUAGACAUUAUAGAGACCUCUCUUAAAAAAUUAUUUGUUUAUAACAAGGGAUUUUUUGGUAAGAUAACAAGGCAUAGAUUAAAUUUUGUAUCUUAUUCAAAAUCGUUUAAUGCACCCCAUAUUGAUAACUUGCUAAUUAAUUCUUAUUUGAUAUCAUAGCUAAGCCUUGCCACAAUAAUGAGGAAUGUUCAGAUCAUAUAUGUAUCCAUCCUGAAGCCGUGCCAGAGUGCUUGUUUGAUAUAUUAAAAAGGGUAUUCUUUGACUUAAAUGGCAAAUCGGUUGGGACUUGCAUAUGUGGCAUGUGAAUGUGUGAUGAAGUUGUAAAAGUUAAAUAAAAAUAAUAAUAUUAUCUUGUUCCUACCUAUAUGAUAUAAUGUUGGUGCUUUUAUGAUAAUAUCUUCUUAGUUAGGAAGUUUAAAAUAGAAGUUUAAAAUAGUAACUAGUAAGUUUGUAUGUUUUAUUUUAUUUUGGUAGAAAUAAGUUUGUAUUUUAACUUGUUGUGCAUUUUAUAUUGAAUGUACAACUUUUUAAUAAAUUAUUUUUGUUUUUUAAUAAAAAAUUACUAUUUUUAA